UACGGAGGGUGCAAGCGUUAUCCGGAUUCACUGGGGUUAAAGGGUGCGUAGGUUGAUAGGUAAGUCAGUGGUGAAAUACUCCGACUCAAUCGGAGAACUGCCGUUGAUACUAUCUAUCUUGAAUACGGUGGAGGCGGGCGGAAUGCGUCAUGUAGUGGUGAAAUACUUAGAUAUGACGCAGAACACCCAUUGCGAAGGCAGCUCGCUACACCGGCAUUGACACUGAGGCACGAAAGCGUGGGGAUCAAACAGG
rnacentral:rRNA from 1 species